UACGGGGGGGGUAAGCGUUGUUCGGAAUUACUGGGCGUAAAGCGUGCGUAGGCGGUUCGUUAAGUUCGUUGUGAAAGCCCCGGGCUCAACCUGGGAAUGGCAAUGGAAACUGGCGGGCUGGAGUAUGGCAGAGGGGGGUGGAAUUCCGCGUGUAGCAGUGAAAUGCGUAGAGAUGCGGAGGAACACCGAUGGCGAAGGCAGCCCCCUGGGCCAAUACUGACGCUCAGGCACGAAAGCGUGGGGAGCAAACAGG
rnacentral:rRNA from 1 species